UCCCGGCCCGGGGGAGGAACUACAAAUCCCGUGAAGCCGCGCCGCCCGCCCGCCGCCAGCGGGGCUUUAUAAGCGGGGAAAUGGCCCGAGUGCUGCAGUCGGAGCAUCUCCGGAGGCGGUGGUGUUGGAUCUGUUCGAGCACCUGCGGGCACUGAGGGUUGGUGAUGUCGGACCGAUCCUUUUUCACUCUCAUUUUCCCUCCCGAGCAUCUCGGGGUCUUCAUCUCCGGGAGAUGGGAGUGCGGAUGAUGGUGGUGGGGUGAUGCGGCGGCUGGGAGGCGGCCCGCUGAGGUUUUGGUAACUGCCAUUGCUGAUGGGUGAGUGGAUGCGAUGGUUGUUGGAGUAUCCUUUGUACCUGGAAGAGAGAAGGCACAAUCAGCCUGACCAUGUGUGGGUUUGGGACUUCUCGGCCAAGCAAGGAGGAUUCAUCUUGGGAUGGCUUUUGUCUGCUGGGAUCUCACAUCAGGAGCCCUUUUGGACCACUGUGUGUUUUGGAUGCGCCCUUCUGCCUGUAGCUGGGAAUGAAUGCUGCUUCCAGGUGGCCACAGACACCUGCUGCUCUAAAUCUGCUGGAUUAUUUCUUUUGGCAUCGCCCUGCUGGUGCGGCAGCUUUUCCUCAACUUGUUCAGCUGCUUUUGGUGCUUGAGAUCACUCCACUUACAGAUGUAGAGCUGCAGUUGCAGCCCAGCGCUGCAGACACCUCUCCUUUUUGGGCUACUAUUUCUCAGCAUUGGGGCACUUUUGGAAGAAGACCACGUCCAUCCACACAUGUGGGAAUGUCCUGUUGGUGCUCGGUCCUGGAAUCGUGAGAACUCCCAGUCCCUUGGCACAUCCCUCUGAAUCACUGACGUUCGGUGGCCACCUCCACCCAUGCCUGUCCCCUGCCUGCUCCCUCGCCGGGUGUCAGUUCUCGAGCCUACGUGCUGAGAAGAAAAGUUAAAAAGGUUAGUCCUGAUGUAGGGUGCUUUGGCACUCAACUGGCCAUGGGGAGGACAGAGGAAUGCAGGGCUGCACAGUGUUGGUGCUACUGCCCUCCGCAGUGUCCCCAGCCAACAUGGAAGGAGCAGAGGAUGGAUGGCCCCAGGUACCCCCUGUGAUACCAGAAGUGCUCGUGGGAGCAUUUCACACAUCUCUGACCUGCAGAGGAUGAAGGACUCUUCCCCAUACUCAAGGUCUGGCCAGGAAACCUUCAAGUAGGAGCACUUUCCCUUCUAAGCAGGCCCAGCAGAAAAUGCAGUGGAAGAGAAGAUCCACUCUUCUGAGGAUGGAAUCCUUGGCCAACAUUGGUUGCAACACAGGACAGUAGUCAUCAUCAUCAUUGAUAUAAUGGCCUCCAAAACCCAGAGUCCUGCUCUAGAUGGUUCUGCUAAGAAUAAGGAUGAUACAAGGAUGGAGAAAAUUGGGUGCUGGUGAGCAAAGUGCAUAGUACUCCUCCUGGGAUGUUCUCCUGUUGAUUGGAAACACAUCCAACUUGUCACGAUGGAACCGGUGACCACCAGGGCUUCACUUCUCAUCUCUGCUGAUGCGCUCUAAAACUGGGCUCCUCUCCAGCGCGUUGGGAGCAGCAGUGCUGAGAAUGUGCUGAACCCUCCAUCCACCAGUGAGGAAAACGCACAGCAGAGGAAAGUCAGGUUCCAGAUUGCUCAGCAGAAAGGAAAAACCAGCUUGGAAGCCCCUCUGGAAGAGGGCCAGGCAGUAAUCUCACGGCGUGUGGGUGAGAAUGGCAGCAUCUCCUUUGGCUUCUGACGGAGCUGCUCGCACUCAGCAUCCAACCUCCUCCGUUUAUAGCCCCGAUUUCCAACCAGCUAAAUGAAAAUACUUGUGGGCAGCAAAAAUAGCCGGUGCUGAAAACCUGUGUCUACUGAGGGUGGAAAUUGCUGGGAGUUCCUUCGUGUCCACAGCCGAUCAUUAGGAGAGGUGGCAUAAAUCCGGCGGUUGCGCGGUGUGCCGCGGGCGGGCUCCCUGCAGCGACCCAGGGCUGAGCGCCCACCACAGCCCAUGGGAUGCUCUGAGGAUGCUGCUGAGGAAUUGGCUUUUGGGGGGAAAAGGAGGAAAAAGCAGCACAUGUUUUUUCCCUUACAUCAGCAUGGUAUGCGGUGCGGUGGAGUUUGUCAUCAUGAGAGUUAAGAUUGCUUCUGCUCCCUCUGUGGGAUAGGGGAUGUGGAGCUGCUGGGGUUGCUCCAUCUAUGGUGGUGUGUUCACAGUGCAGGAUUUAUUGCUUUAAGUAUGCAAAUGUGCCAUGCAAACAUAUGCAAAUCCUGAUCUUUUAUCAGUUGGCAAGAUACGGUUAAACACUGUAAUCAGGAGGCCCAGCAGCCAGCAGAGGAGCGCUGCAGGGUAAUGCCAGGGCUCAGCUGCCAGCAGCAUGGGGUGGGAAUGCUGCAGGUUACCCUUGUGUUAUAGCAGCAGCAAAGAAGUGCUUUGCUUCAUCGUUUAGCAAAUGCAGUCAUGCAAUGAGGCAAAGCCACCAUUAGUGCUUUGGUUGACUCUCCUUGCAGCUCCAGGUGUGAGUGGGGGUGCACUGGCCACCAGCUCAUAUUGCUCCUGUACUGACUCAUUUAUCUUUUGGUGUUCAUUCUCCAACACCACGUGGAAAUGCUUGAGCAGCCACUCUAACCUUUGGGCUGCAAUAAUGAGCCUCACAUGGCAUCUGAUUGGCAACAUGUGGUCUAGGUCAUUACUUUGCUUCAGCUGCUUGUUAGGCCCUGAUCUCCAUUUAAUUUCAAGGUGAAACCAAUGGGAUUCCUGUUGAGGCUCCUCUGGUUCAGUGUGGAUCUCACAGCUAAGCAUGGGUCAGAGCUGAACUGACUCCUUCUGGCACUACUUCAGUGCUGCAGGGAAUGGAGGUAGUGUUCUGCUGUGUGUGGACUCUGCUGGUGCAUCUCUGGACUCAGCUGGAAGCAGGUGAGUCAAUGUGCACCUUGAGACAAUGUUUUGUGUCCUGGUUGUAUGCUCCUAGGUUGCAGAUUAGCCACUUGUAGGUGCAGAUGGUUGAAGCUUUCCAGGUCAGUUUUGCAUUUGGUUUUCCUCUGCCCUAAUUGAGACCAGAAAUCCAAUUAGGCAAUCGUGCUGUCCUUUUUGAAGUCCCUGCCUGCAACAUCAUGUCAUCUAGGAUGGUGGAUGUUGUGCUGGUGAUGUGACCAACCAGCAGCAGUGAGAUUCUGCCCUGCUCUUGAUUAUGAGGCACAAUUUUAAGGCUCAUCCAUUGCAACCCAUGUCAGUGUGCUGUGCUUUUCUGUUCCUAUUAGAGACAGCAGAUGUUCAAGCAAGGGCUGCAGCAUGUGCAGCCUCCUUGCUGCUCCCUGUUGGGCAGGACUUGUGUUGGAGGGAUGGCUGCUACUUGAAGGGGCUCCUGUUGGUUUGCACAGAUGCGAUGGAUGAGGGAAGGGGAGGCACAGAUUUGAGCAGCUCCCCGGCAGCUGCCCCUUUGAAAGUGGUAUUUCCUUGACUUAGAGAUCUUGGGGCCAGUGAUGAGCAACUUGAGGAGCUGAGAUUUUUUGCAUCUCUUUUCUCUCCUUGCAUCUGGCCAUAGCAAAACAGGAAAUGGCACCAAAUUAGCUCAGCAUCUGAGCCUUCCAAAAGCCACAGCAUGGCAAUUGUAGGCACCACUUGUUGCUUUUUUCCUACCCUGCAGCUGCUGAGUGGUAGGGCAGCAGUUUGACUUGGUGUCUCAGCCUGCUUUCUGUUGGAGAAAGCAAGAAGGGGAAAGCAAACAAGGAAAGAGGUUUUAAGCUCAGGGCCUCCCACUGCAUUGUUUUUAUCCUUUUUCCCAUCCUGGAAAAAGAAUCAGAAAUAGCUCAAAACCUUUUUUUUUCUUCUGUUUUCUUUUUUUUUUUCCCUUGCACAAUUUAAUUAAGGCUGUGAAAAUGAUGGAAACUGCACUGUCCAACUUUUGAUGCUUUUUCAUCUCGUUAGGCAGGACAGACAAGUUUGUGAGUGUAACUGUUCUGGUGGAGAUGGGCUCCAGCCACAGCUGCAGGGGGUUAAGGAUGAGGUUCUGGGCCCCUCACUACAAAAAAGACUUUUGAGGCCCUGGAGUGCAUCAGGACCCCCAAGUCCUUCUCUGUAGCACUGCUCUCAAUGAGUUUCCCCAGCCUAUACUCACAUGUGGGACUGUCCUGACCCAAGUGCAACAUGCUGCACUUGGCCUUAUUGUAUCUCAUUACAUUCUCAUGUGCUCGCUUCUUGAGCCUGUCCAAGUCCCUCUGGAUGGUGUUCCUCCCUUCCACUGUGUCAACUGCAUUGCUCAGCAUAGCAUCAAAAAGCUUGCUGAAGGUGCACUCAAUCCCACUGUCUGUGCCAUUGAUAAAGAUGCUGAAGAGUACCGGUUCCAAGAUGUUCCUCUGGGAGGGAACAUUGCUUGUGACCUUGGGCCUCCACCUGGACAUAGAGCCGUUGACUGUAACCCUCUUACUAUGACUGUCCAAACAAUUAUUUAUCCAUUUCUUCAGCCUUGCCUUAUGGCCAGCAAAAUUCCCCUUGCCCCUGUGAUCUGAGACAGUGCUUGUUUGCUUUUGGUUGUUCUCCAAACACACCUUGCUCCCUGAUGCCUCCAUUUCUGGUUGCUUCCUAUCGAAGCACUACAUUUAAAUACAGUAUAAUUUAAAUAUAACCUCAGCAUUUAUUUGGGGAUGAAGGGGGCUGCUGUGAUGGCAUGAGGACCUGAGCCCCUCCAUGGGACCUGCCUGCUCCCAGCCACUGCUGUCAACUCUGUGCAGCUCUGGGCAGCUUGCACUGAGCGGAAGGACCGAAUUCUUCCUCAGCCUUUCAAUUAGCUUCUAAUCCCUCUACUCCCAUAAAAUCUCAGCUGCUGGCUGCUCCUCUUUGUGUGUCUGCAGCAGCCACGAAAGCCGCCUCUCUGAGCAUCUGUCUGUGCGACUGAGGCUGAAACCAAACCCUGAGCCAAUGGCCACACCUCUCCGCAAAGAACGUGUAAUUGCAAACUUCUUUUUUUUCCUUCUUCUUUCCCCUUUCCUCUCAUUUAACAUGCAACAAGCCGACACCCGUCACCGUCCUCAGCUUUGCUCUGAUGCAAGCUUUUUUCCACCUGGCCAAGUUGGGUGUUCAAAAAUUAUAAAUAAAUGCAAAAAGAGGAGGAAAAAAGAAAAGGGGCGGGGGGAAAGGCUGUCGGUAGGGAUAUUUUUAAACACAUGACACACAGGAGUGUGACACACUCGGUGUUCUCAGUGGGUGGGUGCAGUGUUACUGCAUGUUGUUCUUGUCGCUGGGCCCAGCAUUACAGGGAGGUGUGUUUGUUGCUGUGCUUGGUGACAGCGUGUGGCACUGCUGCAUGGUCCCAGUGAGGGGUGGGGGCUGUGUGAGUACUGUGAGGAUGCUGAGUGUCUGAGUACAGGUGCUUUACUGCCUUGGUGUGCACUGCUUUGCUUGAGAGCAUUCAACCCACAGUAGCUGGGAUUGGCAUUGCUGUUUGUUGGUGAGCAUGGUGACGUUGCUGAGCAUCUAUAUAUGGGUGCUUGAUGUGUUUCACAUAGAUACGUUUAACCAAGUUAUCUAUGGCUCUAUAUGUCCAUCUGUCUGUGUCUGCUUGUCCAACCAUGGGGCUGUUGGCUGGGCCCCAGGGGGUUGCUUUGGGGACCACGUGCAGAAGCGAUGCUGAAGGUGGCAGAGGCUGAUGCUGGCCAAUAUCUACCCAUGAGCUGUCGGUUUUAUAGCCCUAUAAAAGGCAGCUGACAGCAGAGGUUCCGAUUUCGGAGGCUCCAGCAGAGCUGGGAGGAGCUGUGUUGGUGCUGAGCCUUAGCGUGACGUCGGGAGGCAGAGCUGGGCUGGGAUUCCCAGCAUGUUGGGGGCAGGAGCUCGCUGCUUGCCUGCCUCUCCCUUUUGGGCACCAAGUUCAGUGCUAGCCCAGGCCCCAGGGCUCCAUGUACUGCAGCAUGCAGAACAAACAGCACAGCUCCCUGCUCUGCUCCAAAGCUCUCCUUCCUGAGCAUAGCCUCUCUGUUUUGCUUUUGUUUGCUUUCUCUUCCCUGCAUGUUUCUUGCCAUGUCCACUCAUGUGUUUCAUUUUAGUAGGGAUGUGUGUGCUCUUCUGGAGGUCAGCCAGGUGCUUUAGCUCAGGCUAGGCUCGUGUUUACUGCUUUCUGAUGGGCAGUACCAGAGGUGGGCAAGGAGGCACAGUGGAGCUGUGGGGACAGCAGCAGAAUCCCUUAAUUAAAUCCUUGAGGUUUCACACCAUGUUGUGACAGAGCUGGGGAUGCAUCAUCUCCUCCUGGCUGUGUGUGGCACCAUUACCCUCGUGCUUAAUCUUAGGCAGUUUGAGCUUGAGUUAUGAGCUCAGAAACACAGAGAUAUCCUCAUUCUGGAGUAAGACAGAAGCACACAGGAGAAGCUGUGGACACAGGCAGAGGAGAAUAAACCUUCUGAGGAAGCUGAAUGUUUCUGAGGAGCUCACCUUGGAUAGGUGCUCCCAAAGCUGGGAAUUACAGGCAACUUGUCUUGUGGCUCAUCUCCAUAUGGAAGAAGGGGUAAAUCUUACAGCAGAGCUCAGCACAUGGGAUGUGGUUCCAUCACCCAGUCCCUGCACGUAGCCCAACUGGGUGCCGUGUGCUGCAAUCGGGCAUGAGAGCAAAAGGCAGAGCCUGGUGCAAACCCUUCUGCUCAGAUCUCCCUGUGGAGCUGCUGCGCCUGGGUCCCCCACCACGACCAAGGGAUCCUGGCUCUUUUUUUAUGGAGACUCCCCACCGAGGUAGACGCUAGUUAAAAGGUUACUGCCCAGCUGUGAAAUAUGUAGACAGGGUAACAGCUAAAUGGCGGGGUGACCUCAUAUCUCAUAUUUAUUGACUAAAUGUGGCUUGAACUAGUCACCACCAGUAAAAUAAACCACAGCCCCGAGUGCUGCAGGAAUAUUCCACGGCAGACAGACUCCUGACUCCUUGUCACACUUUCUUUCACUUGAUUAAAAAAAAAGAACAAAAACCUUUUUAAAUUUAUUUAUUUAUUUUUAUACUAAUAUUGCUUCAUUUACAUCACAGGGCCUGCAGAAACCCUUUCAGUGCAAGCUGACAUAUUUCCAAUGAGAAGAGCUGGGGAUCUCUCUGGUUUUAGGCUGGAAGAGAGGUCAGGAGUGCUGGAUGGCUGGGAUGGAAGAGGAAGCCCAACUCCCUGUCCCUCACACCAGGACCAAUAGGUUGAUGUGAUACCAGUGCUUGUACCAGGUUGGUGUCCAUCAGAAUGUUCUUUCCCAGGGCAACCUAAGUCUCAGGUAAGGUUCUUUGGAUAACCUGGUCCCUCUGCUUCUCCUGGGCUUUGCUGUGUUAGCCCUCAAUGCAAUACAUGUCACCCUGUAACUGUCUAUUAUCCAUCCGUUUUCCAUCAGGUUCCUUUCUGUAUUUACCCAGAUGUUGCUGUCAGAGCUCAGACCAUGGGUGAAGUCAUGUUUUGGUGCAUGGGCAGGAGGGUCAGGGCUGCCCCCCUUGGGGUGCUAUGAUCAUGGACAGUGGCUCCAUGGCUCACAUGUGCUGACCUGCAUACAAACGCUCCAGCACUGACCGAUCUCCAGAGCUGCUCUGGAGGAAUCAGAACUGUAACAAUAUGGCAGUAAAAAUUAAUGAAAAGCCAUCAUUAAAAAAAAAAAAAAAGAAAAAAAAGAAAAAAAAGAAAAAAAAUGGAAAAGCAGUUAUUUAUUUAUACCUAGGGAACUAGGAAUAAUACACCUGCUUCGUAGGGAUGGCUGGCAUAAAGCUGGCAUUGCAUAGUGGUACUUAAUAAUUUUUUUACCACACUUUAUAGGCUCUUUCCUGCAAUUAAUGCUAAAUAAAAUCAACAUUUCUCCAACUUGCAUUUCUGGCUCUCAUUAACUCCCUUCAUGCCAUUCACCAUCUCUUUCCCUCUUGAUAUCUUUAGCUCUUUUGUGUUUUUCUUCUCAAUGUUUUUUUACUCUUCACUUCAUCGUGUCUGUAUUUUUGCCUAUUCAUUUUUUACCUGUUCAUUACCUCAUUUUUUUUUCCUCUCCCAUCUCUGACACUUCUGAGCAUCCCUACCUGUGUGCAGGGAUCCAGGAGCACCAGACAGGACUGGGUAUCCCUGGAUGCAGCACCCCAGGUUGGGUUGGAUGUCACGGAAAGAUCUUCCUGUUAAAGAACAUGAAGGGGAUAAAUGCAGCAAGGUCUCGUCAGAAAACAGGAACCUGUGAAGCCCUUCAUUGGAGGGGGAUCCCUCAGCGCUGGAUUUGGGAUGCAGGAUUUGGUGUCCUGUUGGCCUGGCAGAUGAGCAAUGGGUCAUGGCUGAGCAAGAGACAAAGGAAUGGCUGGGACAAAGACCUGAGCUGAUGACGCAGCAGUGGGAUGAGUUCUAAACUUUGCAACAAAACAACAUACUCCUCUCCUCAGAAUUUCUGCAGAUAUUUCUCCCUAUGGGCUCAUACAUCACCAGCACGUCACCAGGGGCCAUCAGCCACUCACUGAACAUGUCAGCAAUCAGGUUGUUAUGUAUGUGCCCCAUCCAACGUGACUCCAGUGUUGCUCAUUGCUUUUACCCUUUCCAUCCAACUCUGGUGCAGCUUUUGGUGUUCUGCCAUGAAAUUUUACCAAGGGAAAAACACUCUGCUCUCUUUGCCAUCAAUAUAUUCUAUUAAAAAUAUCAGUCUCUCCAAACUGAAAAUAUUUUGCUUUUUCCAUUGCUGCAGCUUUCUCCCAUUUUCCCAUGGUAAAAAUAGAAAUGGGGUGGUGACUUAUUUAUUUUAUAAACCUUGCAUUUUUGUUUUGUGAAAAGACAGAAAUUUGCCAGGAGGUAAACACGGCUGGCAAAAGCUUCACUUGCUAAGAAGUCAUCUGACUUGGAAGGAUAUUUCCCUAGAGAAUAUGAGAACAUAUCAGAUCAACUCUGCAAAGGAACGGCCUUCUUCACUCAUGUUUUCCAUAAGAUCCUGGCCAAGUUGGCCAAUAACUAAGGCAAGGAACGGGGGAAAAAAAAAGGCCCACCUGAAAUGACUUUGGAGAAGAGUCUCCAUAACUGAAAGAGGAAGCCAGACCAAUGAAAUGUGAAAGAAGGUCAAAAAAGAGAUGACUUGGAAGAAAAGAGAAGGAGAAGAAAUGGCGAGAGGAAAAGUCAUGUGCAGUGUGCUGCACACAGAUGGCUCCUUAGCACUAGGACAUGUGGCAGAAUCCAAGCUCAUCUGACAGUUUGUUUGCACGAUGCAAAGCUCUUUCAGGGACUGCUGAGCCUCUAAAAGUAUCUGGGUGCAUUCUGCAGGAUGUUCACACUUUGCUGACCUUGCAGAAGCCUUGAACAAAUUGCAAUUUCUCAUCUACUUUUGCAAACUGGGAGGUUUAGUGCAAUGCUGAGAUAGGAUGGGUGGGGAUACAACCAUUCUGCUGUUUGCCAGGUGUCUAAAACCAGACUCUCCAGUUUGCCGAUUUUGUAGAUCCCACCUCGCCUUGCAUCUCAGCAGGGGCAGUGAAACUCAACAGAAGACCCCUGUGGCUCAGCUUGUACCUUUCUCCUGCUGAAAGACUGAAGAAAGUAAGGAUGAAGCAACUGCAAGAUUUAUGUUGGAACUGGAUCCCCAUGGAUCAGAACGUGAAUAACACCUCCAUCCCCUCCCAAGCCUUCCAGACCCGACCUUUCACAAUCACCGUUUCCUGACCAGUGACUCCAAAGAAAAUAGAGCUGCUAGUCGGUAUUUAAUGGAAAUCUGCACAAAACUUGUCAAAAUACACCACCGUGCCCGUCAGAUGCCUGGGACAAGACCUCUACAGUAGUUUCCAGAUACCUAGUGCAAUUACUUACAUUUUAAAUUAUCUUUAAUUGUGGCGUGUGAGCUACAGAAACAUUUCUCCUCACUCUGAAGCAAGACCUCGCUAUUAAGAGUCACCCCCUAAUUGCAGCUCUAAUGGGGAGCUGGGGCAGGUCAGCACCAGGGUUAGCACAGGGUGAGGCGAGAGCAGCUGCAGAGCAUGGGGAAGUGGAGGUGAUGCAGCACAACAGUUGUGGAGGUGCAGCAGCUUGGAGUGUCAGCUUCUUAGCAAAUCUAAUUACGCCACCAGAUGUUCUAAUCCAAUCUUCCUGUUUCUCUGGACUCAUAGGAUGGCUUGGGUUGGGGAAGGGACCUUAAGAAUCAUCCCAAUUGCCAUGGAGUUUGUCUGGAAUAAACUCAAUGAGUUGCUUCUUGGACUUUUCUUUUCCUUUGCAGGAACUGAGCAUCUUUUUGCUAUCCAAGUGACUACUCAGGUCUGAGUGCUGGUUUGUGUGGGAUUGAACUGAAUCAGACUGAACUCAUAGAUUGACACGGAUGGCAAAGAGGGUGCAAGACUGAUGAAAAAUAGAUGAGGUGGUGGUGCAAAUCUGCUCAAGAGCUGAAUGACAACUGUUAGCCUGGCAAUGCUGAAUUCAAGCAGUCCCUGUCAAGAGUGUGAGAGAUGCUGCACCAGAUUUUCUGGGUCUGUUUGCAAAUUGACCUAAUGUUCCUGUUGACACAAAACCUUGGAAGCGCAGCUAAGAGCAACAUUACUGAACAUGCCUGAUUUGCUCACAGAUUGUGGUCAGAUGUGAGCAUGAAAGCAAAUACUUGCUGCCUAUGCAUCUAGGAGAGGAGAAAAUAGUCAAUUAACCAUGGACCCAGAUGCAUGACAUUACCUUCCAGGAGCAGAUGUGCAGUGCAGGGAACGAACUAAUGUGUGGAAGAGUUUCCUCAGUCAGUGAAUUGUUUUUUGGUUCAGUGAGAAGUCUGGGUGUGCACAUGCAACACAUUGACUGUGUGGAAAAAAUCUCCAUCUCUCUUCUUUCCUUAACAUGAAAAAGAAAACCCACAAAUCACAGGAGUCUCAAACUGUUCUUUGUUAAAGCGCCACUUGAACAAUUUGCUUAGUUUUCACCACUUACUGCGUUAAUUGCUGCCUUCAGCCCCACCCUAUUCCCCAGGCAGAGAGAGCAUUCGGACUUGUCCCAAGCCCAGCUUUAGCCACACACCUGUGGGAUGGAAACAGGCAGAGCAAACAAUGAAACAAGGUCGUUUAUAAAGCCUUCAAUACAUCAGGCAGGGAGAAGAGCCCAAGUUUCCACGUCAAGGCCUAACGGACCAGAAUGACGUGAAACACAUGGAAAAUAUGGAAAAUGUGGAAUAAGUAAUAAAAUUAUAAAUAAAACAAAUACAAUAAAUUGGGAAUGCAGUUUUAGUCAUAAUGAUUUGUGUUCCUAGUAACUCAAGACUCUCUUACCUUUGAAAACGAGCAUGUUUUUCCAGUGGGGAGUAGAAUGCAGGUGAUGGGGCUGCAUGGGGCACUGGACCAACCAGAGGCAGAGGUGGGAACCAGCAGGCAGGAGACCAGGGCUGCAGUGUGUCCACGUGAGCCCUUUCUAUAACCGGGGCUUGCAUCAGGACCUCAGGAAAUUCAUGUAAUCAGAUGGUGGUUAACAUUAGUGCAGGAAUUUUGGCCAGAAGUGAAUCUUGGCUUGUUCUAGGCUGAGAAAUUCACGCCGGUGUUGUUACCCAAGUGCAGUUCUCUUAGGUUGCUUUGUCUCCUGUGCUUGUCUGGGUGUUGGUGACAGCAGUCAGCAUGUUGCUCGGUGAAUGGGGUCACUUGGUGAUGUCCAGCUCCGGUGGGUUGAGGCUUCUGGGCUGUCCUUGCUAUCAUGCUGAUCCUUGGACUGUGGGAUUGCAUUGCUCUCAUUAAACACUUUUAAUGAGGUUCUCUGUGAUAACUUUAUGUUCUUUCAGCUCCACAAAGGAAUGCUCAAAAGCUGACUCUGGAAGAAAAGUAAAAAAAAAAGCAAUAAAGUGUGGUCCUCUUUAACCACC